rnacentral:tRNA from 1 species
GCCCGGUUAGCUCAGUCAGUUGAGCGUAGCACUAACAACGCUAAGGUCACGGGUUCAAUUCCUGUUCGGUCC